rnacentral:rRNA from 1 species
CGGCGUAAAGCGUGGUUAAGACAUUAACUUAAUAGGGUCGAAUAACCUCUGAGCAGUCAAAUACUAUCGAGACCACAAAGUACACCUACGAAAGUAACCCUAAUACUUCUGACCCCACGAAAGCCAUAACACAAACUGGGAUUAGAUACCCCACUAUGUAUGGCUGUUAAAAUUGAUGGUACUUCACUCGAACCAUCCGCCCGGGAACUACGAGCCUCAGCUUAAAACCCAAAGGACCUGGCGGUGCUUUAGAUCCCCCUAGAGGAGCCUGUUCUGUAACUGACAACCCCCGUUAAACCUCACCACUUCUUGUCAAAUCCGCCUAUAUACCACCGUCGUAAGCUUACCCUACUGAAGGUUAAAAAGUAAGCCCUAAUAGUAAUACUAAAGACGUCAGGUCGAGGUGUAGCGUAUGGAGUGGGAAGAAAUGGGCUACAUUCCCUAAUGGAGGGAAUACGAAUGGUAAUUUGAAAAAAUUACACUGAAGGAGGAUUUAGUAGUAAGGAAAGGAGCAGAGUGCCCUACUGAAAAUGGCCCUAAAGCGCGUACAGACCGCCCGUCACUCUCCCCGAAACAACCUCUUUAUUCCUAAUAAUUUAAAUAAAACAAGGUGAGAUAAGUCGUAACAUGGUAAGUGUACCGGAA